rnacentral:rRNA from 1 species
GUGAGGAAUUUUGCGCAAUGGGGGCAACCCUGACGCAGCGACGCCGCGUGGAGGACGAAGUCUUUCGGGAUGUAAACUCCUGUCAGUGGGGACGAUAAUGACGGUACCCACAGAGGAAGCACCGGCUAACUCCGUGCCAGCAGCCGCGGUAAGACGGAGGGUGCAAGCGUUGUUCGGAAUUACUGGGCGUAAAGCGUAUGUAGGCGGCAAGUUAAGUUCAAUGUUAAAGCCCACGGCUCAACCGAGGAGAUGCAUUGAAUACUGGCUAGCUAGAGGGUGUUAGAGGAAGACGGAAUUCCCAGUGUAGCGGUGAAAUGCGUAGAUAUUGGGAGGAACAUCGGUAGCGAAAGCGGUCUUCUGGGACAUACCUGACGCUGAGGUGCGAAAGCGUGGGGAGCAAACGGGAUUAGAAACCCUUGUAGUCC